rnacentral:rRNA from 1 species
GACAGAGGUGCCAAGCGUUAGGCGGAAUCACUGGGCUUAAAGCGUGUGUAGGCGGAUCGUUAAGUACCUUGUGAAAUCCCACGGCUCAACCGUGGAACUGCUGGGUAUACUGGCGAUCUUGAGCCACCUAGGGGCGAGCGGAACAAGCGGUGGAGCGGUGAAAUGCGUAGAUAUCGCUUGGAACGCCAAUGGUGAAAACAGCUCGCUGGGGGUGUGCUGACGCUGAGGCGCGAAAGCGUGGGGAGCGAACAGG